rnacentral:piRNA from 1 species
UGAGGAAAAGCUGAGAUGCCCUCCGACAG